GGUGGCUGUCAACUGCCUGAAACAUCUCACCUUAAGGGGAAGCAAUGAGACUGUGGAGACAGGCUCUCAUGUACACCAGGCUGACUUCAAACCUUCUACAUAACUAAGCUGACUUCAAACUUCUGCUCUAUCGACUUCUACUACCGGAGUGCUGAGAUUUCAGGUGUUUACUCCUGAUACAGCCAGGCUUAUGUGAUGCUGAGGAUCAAACCCUUGACCUCAGAUUGAAUCUGAAAGAUGCAGUCGGCCAUGAUUCACCAAAACAACUCAUUGGGAAACUUCCUUGAAGUACUGGCUUUCUGCUGAUAUUUGAAGGACUUGUUUUAUGAAGGUAUGAAGUCCAGAUGUAUCAGGUGACUCAGCUUUGCCCAUAUUAUAUAUCUUUUCUCAAAUUGGAUGGAGA